rnacentral:rRNA from 1 species
AACGCGAAGAACCUUACCUGGGCUCGAAAUGUAGUGGAAUCCGGCAGAAACGUCGGCGUCUAGCAAUAGACCGCUAUAUAGGUGCUGCAUGGCUGUCGUCAGCUCGUGUCGUGAGAUGUUGGGUUAAGUCCCGCAACGAGCGCAACCCUUAUCUUCAGUUGCUACCAUUUAGUUGAGCACUCUGGACAGACUGCCUCGCUUAAACGAGGAGGAAGGUGGGGAUGACGUCAAGUCAGGAUGGCCCUUACGGCCAGGGCUGCACACGUACUACAAUGCCCGGCACAAAAGGAAGCAAGACAGCAAUGUGGAGCUAAUCCCAAAAACCGGGCCCAGUUCAGAUUGUCGUCUGCAACUCGACGGCAUGAAGCUGGAAUCGCUAGUAAUGGCGCAUCAGCUACGGCGCCGUGAAUACGUUCCCAGGCCUUGUACACACCGCUAGUC